ensembl:lncRNA
GAACUUUUAAAAUUGUAAUUAGCCAAAUAAUUUUUAAGAGGAAAAAAUGUUUGAUACUGGGAUAAAAUUCAGUCAAUGGAUUUUUUUAAAAUCCUUUUUACUAUGGCAAAAGACUUUACUGUUUCUCAUGUUAUGCCAUACUCAAAUCUGGGAGAUACUGGAUCUACCCAACAGAUAUUUAAAUGCUGAAGUUAGGCAAGCAAAGUAGGUUACUAAGAAAUGUAGAGUUUUGUAUAUAAUAUUAUAAACAGUAGAGAAAAAAUGUUAUGCCUAGAAGAACUAAAAACAGAUCCAAAAAAAAUCCAUGCAUUAUUAAAUACCAUAAAUUUUGUGUUAUGCUAUUUCCUUUUUUCCUGCAGUGGAUUGGUUAAAGCAUAAUCUGAAUUCCUUUUUUUACUGACUUUUCGGCACAUGGUACACUAUCAAAGACUCACUUUGACUGAAGGGUGUCCUGAAAGCUGUCUACAGGGUUGAUCAAUGUUGCCUGCUUCACGAACUGAAGCCUAAUGGGUCUGAGCCACAACAAAUGCAACAUCGGCACAAAGAGAUGCAAUUCAGAACAUUUCCCAGAAAUAAACUGUUCCUUGCAUCCUCUUCCUCACAACUUUCCAAAAAUUCACACCUUCUGAAAGAGAUCUCUGCUAUCAGUGUUCUUACAAGACCCCACUGCCACCUUUGGGAAGGUGGUGAAUAUCUGCCUUUGAUGUGACACUGGGUCAACUGGAAUUCUUGAAAUGCACGAGGUACUUUUCCCGUGGCUCUAUGAAGACAGUACUAGCUGACACAAAGAAAUGAAAGGGUUACGACACAUGCAGAAACAAUGAGUCUCCUUUUGAAAUUUUACGUGGGUGAAAGGUGAAAACCAAGCUGAAUUGGGUCACUUGUUGAUUCUUCUGAUGAUGACAAGCUUGAAUAUAUAACAAUCAAGAGAAGCCAACAGCCACACUGACAUAGAUAUCAACUAACACAACCGAGUCACAGAAAAGUCAAAAAUGAUUCAGUCUUGUUCAGAAAUAGUUUCUGCAGAUAUUGGUAGCUCUAGUAAAAACUUAUAAAAAAUAAAUACAUAUUUAAUCAUGUUUGUUUAUGUUCAUCUAGCUGGUGUCUGUAUCAUCACUCAUAAUUAUCCCUUAUCGUGUAUCUUGUCUACUUAAAUACAUAAUGACUUGGAAAGCUAGUUAUAAGUUAAUGUUUGGUAAUACAAGAAGAAAUAAUGUCUUCUAGUAUAGGAAUAAGGUUUUUGAGGAAGUUAUUACAAGGUAUACAACUGA